GCGGGAGUGGCGAAAUUGGUAGACGCACCAGAUUUAGGUUCUGGCACCACAAGGUGUGCGAGUUCAAAUCUCGCCUUCCGCACCA
rnacentral:tRNA from 1 species